rnacentral:rRNA from 1 species
AACGCGAAGAACCUUACCUGGGCUUGAACUACUCGUGGUAGUUCGCUGGAAACAGUGGACGACCCGCAAGGGAGCGAGCAGAGGUGCUGCAUGGUUGUCGUCAGCUCGUGUCGUGAGAUGUUGGGUUAAGUCCCGCAACGAGCGCAACCCCUAUCUCAUGUUGCUAUUCCCGCAAGGGAAGCACUCUUGAGAAACUGCCUUCGAUAAGAAGGAGGAAGGUGGGGACGACGUCAAAUCCUCAUGGCCCUUAUGUCCAGGGCUACACACGUGUUACAAUGGCCGGUACAAUGGGAAGCAAUACCGUAAGGUGGAGCCAAACCCCAAAGCCGGCCCCAGUUCAGAUUGUGGGCUGCAACCCGCCCACAUGAAGGCGGAAUCGCUAGUAAUCGCUGAUCAGCAGGCAGCGGUGAAUACGUUCCCGGGCCUUGUA